rnacentral:rRNA from 1 species
GACGAACGCUGGCGGCGUGCUUAACACAUGCAAGUCGAACGAUGAAGCCGGAGCUUGCUCCGGUGGAUUAGUGGCGAACGGGUGAGUAACACGUGAGCAAUCUGCCCUUGACUCUGGGAUAACUGCGGGAAACUGUAGCUAAUACCGGAUACGACACCUUGGGGCAUCCCAGGGUGUGGAAAGAAUUUCGGUCAAGGAUGAGCUCGCGGCCUAUCAGCUAGUUGGUGAGGUAAUGGCUCACCAAGGCGACGACGGGUAGCCGGCCGGAGAGGGUGACCGGACACACUGGAACUGAGACACGGUCCAGACUCCUACGGGAGGCAGCAGUGGGGAAUAUUGCACAAUGGGCGAAAGCCUGAUGCAGCAACGCCGCGUGAGGGAUGAAGGCCUUCGGGUUGUAAACCUCUUUUAGCAGGGAAGAAGCGAAAGUGACGGUACCUGCAGAAAAAGCACCGGCUAACUACGUGCCAGCCGCCGCAGUAA